rnacentral:rRNA from 1 species
AUGCAAAUGGUCAGAUUCUUCUUCUCAGCAAAGGGAAUGGAGCUGGAGCCAUGGAGGAUACCUGCCUGUUGGAAAAAUAAAUGGUCAGACUCUUCUUCCCAGCAAAGGGAUGCUGCUCGUACGGCUUGCUUGAAGCCUGUCCGUCAUUUGUGUCCAAGAAAUGCUAUUCCGUUGAUCUUCACCGAAGGCAGUGAUGUUCCAAGAUAUCAUCAUCACCGUCGUCCGUCGGUUGAUCAUCCCGGUGAUUCACUGAAGAUAGAGAGGAGAGGAGCACCAUUCACUACAAUCCGCGCCAUUGAGCAGCUCAAGAUGCUCUUCAAAUGA